rfam:Gorilla gorilla gorilla genomic chromosome, chr11, whole genome shotgun sequence
GUCUAUGUCUGUACCACCCUGAAUACACAUGAUCCCAUCUGAUCUUGGAAGCUAAGCAGGGUCAGGCCUGAUUAGUACUUGGAUGAGAGAUUUUGUGGGUGUUAGCUGGCUUCUUCUAAC